GACGAACGCUGGCGGCGUGCUUAACACAUGCAAGUCGAACGGAAAGGCCCUGCUUUUGUGGGGUGCUCGAGUGGCGAACGGGUGAGUAACACGUGAGUAACCUGCCCUUGACUUUGGGAUAACUUCAGGAAACUGGGGCUAAUACCGGAUAGGAGCUCCUGCUGCAUGGUGGGGGUUGGAAAGUUUCGGCGGUUGGGGAUGGACUCGCGGCUUAUCAGCUUGUUGGUGGGGUAGUGGCUUACCAAGGCUUUGACGGGUAGCCGGCCUGAGAGGGUGACCGGCCACAUUGGGACUGAGAUACGGCCAGGACUACUACGGGAGGAAGAAGUGGGGAGUAUUGCACAAUGGGCGGAAGCCUGAUGCAGCACCGCGCGUGCGGGAGGACGGCCUUCGGGUUGUAAACCGCUUUCGCCUGUGACGAAGCGUGAGUGACGGUAAUGGGUAAAGAAGCACCGGCUAACUACGU
rnacentral:rRNA from 1 species